AUGGCACACACUCACUUUUUCUUUUAUCCCCUUUUUUGCCCCUUUCACACAUUUCUAUUGACAUAUACACUCACAUCUAUUUGUUCACCACACUCUCACACAUUUUUCUUAACCCCUUUCCCCCCCCUCAUUCACAUCACACUGACACCAGUAUGAUGUUCAUUGUACCAGUACAAAACCUUUGGUUUUGGUAUACUUCCAUCUACACCUUUGCAAUACUAGCAUUGGUGUAUUAAGAUUUACUAAUAUAUUCCAUUUCAAUACUUACCUCCUACAUACGCCCAUGUUUAUGAUCCUAUUAGAUCAUUACAUGUGAUCGGGGUCAUAGCCGAAUGGAUGUUAUCUAUGCUUAUGCAAUAUUAUUAGUACUCACAUUAUUACUUAUAUUAAAUUAAACUAAAUAUUCAAUCAAUACAGGUGUCUUCCGGUCGUCUCCUCCCCCCUAUGGUCCACACUUGUGACUCCUUGUAAGCCCGGUUUGGUGGGUUCCCGUCAAGCGGAACGGGGGUUUCUCUUGCUAUGGGGGUCUUCGGAUCAUUUUUACUUUUCAGCAACCAUCUCUGAUUACAUAUUAAUUCAUUAACCCUUGAGUGAGUACAAUUCCCCUGAAGAAGACCGUGACAGUUUAGGUCGAAACGCGUCGGGGUACUCAUAUGGAAACAAUUGAAUCAUGAUGUAACGUGUAUUGUAUUGUUGUUGAUUUUUGCCACUGUUAUUUUUAUUUUCAUGUAUAAUCAGAGUGUACUAUAUGUAUAUUAUCUACAUUAUUUUACAAAUGCUCCAACCAUGUUGUACAUUUUAUUGUAAUUCAAUGUUGAAACCAAGUAAAGAUUUUAACUUCAAUAUCA